AAAAUAUUUUUGAAUGUAUUUGAUUCUAAGUGUCCUUAGCAAGCAAGCUAUCCUUGUUGAAAUUCCCUACAUAAUACUGCAGUAUCAGUGCUAUGCUGUUACUUUCCAGGGCCUCUUCUGCUGCAUUCCAGUAUAAUCAUAUGUUCCAGCACCCGACAAUGCUCUCAUGGCUGACAGCUAUCUGCAUAGAAAAAUAGCACAGUAACCAUUUAAAUCAUGCAAAAACAUUUACCCAAGAAGAUGUAGCAAAGAUCAGGAUCCAGCUUCCAGACCCCAUGAAGCAUGAAGCUGAGAGAGCAAUCCACUAGCUUGCUCGGGCCAGCAGUGUCUCUCCUACACUUGACCUAGACUGCCUUACAUAAUGAGGAAUCAGUGCUGUAUCCUGUGUGGAGGAGCAAGCUGAAUGUCAUCACUGGCAGAAGUAGGGAGAACUGGCAGCAGGCAGGCUGGUAGUUAGCAUGGAGAUCACGAAGUCUGCUUUCCCCAAGUGCUCUGGAAGAAAACACAAGAAGAGCUCAGAAAUGCUGGUGUCAUUCCUCCUCUGGAAUUAAUGACCGGAAGGACUGAGGGUGUUACAAACGUGAGGCAGAGAGCAAGUGCAAAAGCUGCAUCUGUACUUACUAUCAAGGUAACAGAGCUCCUCUCACACUGUCUACAGGACUGCAUAGCUACAGCUAAUAGGAGAGCAACAGCAAGGAAAAAUAAGAAAGGAGAGAGGAGAGACAGACUGCUGCUGCAUACAUUUGUCUGUAUAUUACUCAUUGUGGCUGCUGGUCUAUUUGGCUCUGUGUUCAACUGAAGAAAUCCAGAAAAAGUACAGAAAGCAUUAUGCAGCAGAAAGUGCACAAACAAGAUCCAAUUCACAUCAAUCUAGAAAAGCAGUAUUUCUGAAAGGCUCUGGAUUUUUUUUUCUGAAGUCCACAAUAUGAGGGAUGAGAAGCACAAGACAAGUACUCUGUUUUGAUUAUACAUAUAGCUUCUCAAAAAACAAGUGUCUGAAGAUUUUAUUGAAAAUUAAAUCAACUUUCUACAGCAGAAAACGAGACACUCUUGGUUUUGUAGCACUGCACC